ACUCCUGCGGGAGGCAGCAGUGGGGAAUUUUGGACACUGGGCGAAAGCCUGAUCCAGCAAUGCCGCGUGAGUGAAGAAGGCCUUCGGGUUGUAAAGCUCUUUUGUCAGGGAAGAAACGGUGAAAGCUAAUAUCUUUUGCUAAUGACGGUACCUGAAGAAUAAGCACCGGCUAACUACGUGCCAGCAGCCGCGGUAAUACGUAGGGUGCAAGCGUUAAUCGGAAUUACUGGGCGUAAAGCGUGCGCAGGCGGUUUUGUAAGUCUGAUGUGAAAUCCCCGGGCUCAACCUGGGAAUUGCAUUGGAGACUGCAAGGCUAGAAUCUGGCAGAGGGGGGUAGAAUUCCACGUGUAGCAGUGAAAUGCGUAGAUAUGUGGAGGAACACCGAUGGCGAAGGCAGCCCCCUGGGUCAAGAUUGACGCUCAUGCACGAAAGCGUGGGGAGCAAACAGGAUUAGAUACCCUUGUAGUCCC
rnacentral:rRNA from 1 species